rnacentral:rRNA from 1 species
UGCAGUCGAACGGCAGCACGUGUGCUUGCACCUGGUGGCGAGUGGCGAACGGGUGAGUAAUGCAUCGGAACGUGUCCAAAGUGGGGGAUAACGCAUCGAAAGAUGUGCUAAUACCGCAUAUUCUCUGAGGAGAAAAGCAGGGGAUCGCAAGACCUUGCGCUUUUGGAGCGGCCGAUGCCUGAUUAGCUAGUUGGUGGGGUAAAGGCUUACCAAGGCGACGAUCACUAGUUGGUCUGAGAGGACGACCAGCCACACUGGGACUAAGACACGGCCCACACUCCUACGGGAGGCAGCAGUGGGGAAUUUUGGACAAUGGGCGAAAGCCUGAUCCAGCAAUGCCGCGUGAGUGAAGAAGGCCUUCGGGUUGUAAAGCUCUUUCAGUCGAGAAGAAAAGAUUAUGAUGAAUAAUCACAAUUUAUGACGGUAUCGACAGAAGAAGCACCGGCUAACUACGUGCCAGCAGCCGCG